CCUACGGGCGGCAGCAGUGGGGAAUAUUGGACAAUGGGGGGAACCCUGAUCCAGCCAUGCCGCGUGUGUGAAGAAGGCCCUCGGGUUGUAAAGCACUUUCAGUGAGGAAGAACGCCUGGUGGUUAAUACCCAUCAGGAAAGACAUCACUCACAGAAGAAGCACCGGCUAACUCCGUGCCAGCAGCCGCGGUAAUACGGAGGGGGCGAGCGUUAAUCGGAAUUACUGGGCGUAAAGCGCGCGUAGGUGGCUUGAUAAGCCGGUUGUGAAAGCCCCGGGCUCAACCUGGGAACGGCAUCCGGAACUGUCAAGCUAGAGUGCAGGAGAGGAAGGUAGAAUUCCCGGUGUAGCGGUGAAAUGCGUAGAGAUCGGGAGGAAUACCAGUGGCGAAGGCGGCCUUCUGGACUGACACUGACACUGAGGUGCGAAAGCGUGGGUAGCAAACAGGAUUAGAUACCCGUGUAGUC
rnacentral:rRNA from 1 species